GUGAGUAAUACGUGAGUAACCUGCCCUUGACUCUGGGAUAAGCCUGGGAAACUGGGUCUAAUACUGGAUAUGACCUCCUGUCGCAUGGUGGGGGGUGGAAAGGGUUUGUACUGGUUGUGGAUGGGCUCACGGCCUAUCAGCUUGUUGGUGGGGUAAUGGCCUACCAAGGCGACGACGGGUAGCCGGCCUGAGAGGGUGACCGGCCACACUGGGACUGAGACACGGCCCAGACUCCUACGGGAGGCAGCAGUGGGGAAUAUUGCACAAUGGGCGCAAGCCUGAUGCAGCGACGCCGCGUGAGGGAUGACGGCCUUCGGGUUGUAAACCUCUUUCAGCACGGAAGAAGCGAAAGUGACGGUACGUGCAGAAGAAGCGCCGGCUAACUACGUGCCAGCAGCCGCGGUAAUACGUAGGGCGCAAGCGUUGUCCGGAAUUAUUGGGCGUAAAGAGCUCGUAGGCGGUUUGUCGCGUCUGCUGUGAAAGCCCGGGGCUUAACCCCGGGUGUGCAGUGGGUACGGGCAGACUUGAGUGCAGUAGGGGAGACUGGAACUCCUGGUGUAGCGGUGAAAUGCGCAGAUAUCAGGAAGAACACCGAUGGCGAAGGCAGGUCUCUGGGCUGUUACUGACGCUGAGGAGCGAAAGCAUGGGGAGCGAACAGGAUUAGAUACCCUGGUAGUCCAUGCCGUAAACGUUGGGCACUAGGUGUGGGGGACAUUCCACGUUUUCCGCGCCGUAGCUAACGCA
rnacentral:rRNA from 1 species